GACUGCGGAGGAUCAUUACCGUGGGGCUUCGGCCCCGUCGUGAUAGAACCCUUGCCUUUUUGAGUACCGUCCGUUUCCUCGGCAGGCUCGCCUGCCAAUGGGGACCCAAAACCAAACUCUUUUUAUCAUCUGUACCAGUCUGAAAAACAAACAAAAGUUAAAACUUUCAACAACGGAUCUCUUGGUUCUGGCAUCGAUGAAGAACGCAGCGAAAUGCGAUAAGUAGUGUGAAUUGCAGAAUUCAGUGAAUCAUCGAAUCUUUGAACGCACAUUGCGCCCUCUGGUAUUCCGGGGGGCAUGCCUGUUCGAGCGUCAUUACAACCCUCAAGCUUUGCUUGGUAUUGGACAUUGCCAGUUUCUGGCAGGUCUUAAAAUCAGUGGCGGUGCCAUUUGGCUACAAGCGUAGUAAUUCUUCUCGCUUCGGAGAUCCAGGUGGUUACUUGCCAAUAACCCCCAAUUUUUUCAGGUUGACCUCGGAUCAGGUAGGGAUACCCGCUGAACUUAAGCAUAUCAAUAAGCGGAGGA
rnacentral:rRNA from 1 species